AAGGGUGAUUCUUCUCAAAGCCCUGACUCACAGUUGGCUCUGGAUGAAGCUAUAGCUAGAUCUUUGCAGUUGGGGGAUGAUUUUGAGGAUUUUUGUAGAGAUGAGCUUAAUUCUACUGUGGCUGGCAUCAGGGAAUCCCCUCCUAGAGAAUCACCUCCGGCUGAGAAUCCGAACACGAGGAGACAAGAUGAUAUUGAUCCAGAUAGUAUGACCUAUGAGGAAUUGCAGUCUUUAGGAGAAGCUGUUGGCCAGCAGAGCAGAGGGCUUU
rnacentral:misc_RNA from 1 species